AUUGAACGCUGGCGGCAGGCCUAACACAUGCAAGUCGAGCGGAUGAAGAGAGCUUGCUCCCUGGUUCAGCGGCGGACGGGUGAGUAAUGCCUAGGAAUCUGCCUGGUAGUGGGGGACAACGUUUCGAAAGGAACGCUAAUACCGCAUACGUCCUACGGGAGAAAGUGGGGGAUCUUCGGACCUCACGCUAUCAGAUGAGCCUAGGUACGAUUAGCUAGUUGGUGAGGUAAAGUCUCACCAAGGCGACGAUCGUUAACUGGUCUGAGAGGAUGAUCAGUCACACUGGAACUGAGACACGGUCCAGACUCCUACGGGAGGCAGCAGUGGGGAAUAUUGGACAAUGGGCGAAAGCCUGAUCCAGCCAUGCCGCGUGUGUGAAGAAGGUCUUCGGAUUGUAAAGCACUUUAAGUUGGGAGGAAGGGCAGUAAGUUAAUACCUUGCUGUUUUGACGUUACCGGCAGAAUAAGCACCGGCUAACUUCGUGCCAGCAGCCGCCGUAA
rnacentral:rRNA from 1 species